GAUGAACGCUGGCGGCGUGCCUAAUACAUGCAAGUCGAGCGAACGGACGAGAAGCUUGCUUCUCUGAUGUUAGCGGCGGACGGGUGAGUAACACGUGGAUAACCUACCUAUAAGACUGGGAUAACUUCGGGAAACCGGAGCUAAUACCGGAUAAUAUUUUGAACCGCAUGGUUCAAAAGUGAAAGACGGUCUUGCUGUCACUUAUAGAUGGAACCGCACUGCAUUAGCUAGUUGGUAAGGUAACGGCUUACCAAGGCAACGAUGCAUAGCCGACCUGAGAGGGUGAUCGGCCACACUGGAACUGAGACACGGUCCAGACUCCUACGGGAGGCAGCAGUAGGGAAUCUUCCGCAAUGGGCGAAAGCCUGACGGAGCAACGCCGCGUGAGUGAUGAAGGUCUUCGGAUCGUAAAACUCUGUUAUUAGGGAAGAACAUAUGUGUAAGUAACUGUGCACGUCUUGACGGUACCUAAUCAGAAAGCCACGGCUAACUACGUG
rnacentral:rRNA from 1 species